rnacentral:rRNA from 1 species
GAUGAACGCUGGCGGCGUGCCUAAUACAUGCAAGUCGAGCGAACUGAUUAGAAGCUUGCUUCUAUGACGUUAGCGGCGGACGGGUGAGUAACACGUGGGCAACCUGCCUGUAAGACUGGGAUAACUCCGGGAAACCGGAGCUAAUACCGGAUAACAUUUUCUCUUGCAUCAGAGAAAAUUGAAAGAUGGUUUCGGCUAUCACUUACAGAUGGGCCCGCGGUGCAUUAGCUAGUUGGUGAGGUAACGGCUCACCAAGGCAACGAUGCAUAGCCGACCUGGGAGGGUGAUCGGCCACACGGGGACUGAGACACGGGCCAGACUCCUACGGGAGGCAGCAGGAGGUAAUCUUCCGCAAUGGACGAAAGUCUGACGGAGCAACGCCGCGUGAGUGAUGAAGGCUUUCGGGUCGUAAAACUCUGUUGUUAGGGAAGAACAAGUACAAGAGUAACUGCUUGUUCCUUGACGGUACCUAACCAGAAAGCCACGGCUAACUACGUGCCAGCCGCCGCGGUAA